GUGUAGCACGUCCUCCCUGCUCCAGAGCACGGGCUGGAUGCCUGCAAUCCGAGGACUGAGGCUAGAGGGAGGCCGGGGACAGACCCUCACCCUCCUACUUCAGGCCCUCGCUUGAAUGUCACCUCCUCAAAGAAGCCCUCCAUCUGAGCAGAGGCUCUCCUCUCUUGCCCCCCACCUACAGUCAUUUCCUCUGUCACCAUGUCCUAUUCUUGUCCUUCAGUCACCUUACUUUUUUUGUAACUAUGUCUUAUAUCUGAUGUAAUUGUAUGUUUGUUUAUCAUUAUCUGUGCAUUAUGUAUAUAUUCACUUAUUUUUGGUACCCCCUUCACCCACCCCCAGGCCCAUUUUCCAAUUAUUCAAACAACAGAUGGUUAAAGAAGACCUACUGUGUGCCAGACACCGAGUCAUGUAUGCUGGGCACCCUGUUGUAUGUAUUCAACACCUGGGACAGUGCCUGGACCCCAGGAGGUGCCCCAUAAACACACAGUGAAUGACUGGUGGUGUUUUUUUUCUGGAAACAACCAUUUCCAUGGACCCCCAGCACUGUGCCCACUGUGAUGAGUCAGCCUGGCAUUUCACUUUGUGAGGUGCUUCUCCUCCCCAGAGCCCUUCACGCCCUGUGGGCCCCUGGAUGUAAGAGGGGAAAGAGCUCAGGGCUCAUCAGAUCCAGCCUGACAGAGGCACGUCAGCCCCGAUGAUGAGACGGAAGCUGGAAGUGGAGGCAGGAAUGGGGUGGACGCCUGGGAAUAAACGUCAGAAAGAUGUCCAGCAGCAGAAACCCAGCUGGAAAGGACCCCAUGGCUCAUCCAGUCCCAACAAGAAGACUGCCGCCUUCACAAUGACACGCUCGGCCAUGUCAACUGUGUUCCCCACGGGAGAAUUCACAUUGACCUCCUCUGACUUCCUCCCCAAGGAAAGGUUAAAGAAAACCAGCAAAGAAAUAGCAAAUGGAGGGAAGGUGCUUCCUUGGCUAAGUUUACACGUCACGUUCACAUCCUCUAAAAACAUCAGCCUCUUUGCUCCCUCUACUCACGGAGUCUUCCUGGCAGCUUGCAGAUUCCCCUCUCCAACAGCAGUUUUACUCUGGCUUCACAUCUGCCUCGGGCCUGGGUGCCUGGGUGCAGUGUGGCUGCUUCAGGGCUCACAGGAGAACUGGCCAAAGCUCUCUCCUAGAAAGAGGAAAACCAGGCAAAGAUGAGCGUCUUGGUGAAGGUUCAGGCAUCCUUAAGAAUUUUUUUCAAAGGGGAAGAGUGUCCAUCACUGUCUACCUUACAGGUAGGAACCACAUAUGUCUUCAGCUUGGUACCAUCAACAUCUUGUACACAGUGGACACUUGAUAAAUUUCGUCGUUUCAAUUCAA